CGCCUGAAAUGAAAAAAACAUAUUGUGAUAUGAAAAAAUCUUAUAUCGCCCAGCUCUAUGGCAAAGUAUUGAGAAUUCUAACCUCUUACAUUCUGUUUCUGUGGAGAAAGACACUCCAGUGAUUUACUUUAUAUUUCAUCAUUUAGUGGCCCAAAUAUUUUGAACAUAGUGAUAGAGAAAACCCGUGCUAUUUUGCCAUUUUUAGUAAGAAGAAAAAGCCACUCCAUCUAUCAUCCAUCCAUCCGUCCAUCUUCUUCCACUUAUCCGGGGCUGGGUCGCGAGGGCAGGACCCCAAGCAGAGAAGCCCCAACGAUCAGGUGCCAUUCCCCGACCUGGAGGCACAGAGGAAAAAACCCUCUCCUCCACUGGCAGAAACCCUAACAUACAGCCAGCAAGCCAAGGGGAUACCAUGUUCCCUCAAUGGUCUUGUCAUAGGGGUCUUAUAUGCCACUUGAAUUUUAAAAUUGUAUUUUGCUCUUUAGGAUGUGAUUUACUUGCAAAAAGGGAAGUCAGAGGAUUGUGGAUUGGGUGAGAAGAGUGUGGAGACCCACCAUAAAGAAGAGGAGGUGAGUUCCUUCCAAAAAGCAAAGUCAGAGGAUAGUGGAUCAGUUGAGAGGGGAUCGUUGCACACAGAGGAACCCACAGUGACUUCUCUCUGAGGCCCAAAAAAGAUGCCAGAAGACAUGGGUGUCACAGUUCCAAUGGAUGAUCAGGACAUCCAGUUGCCACGUCUGGACAGAUGUUCAAAGUGUUUAUGCUUUUAUCAUUUCAAUUUUGUGUUCGAAAAAAAAAAAAAAAGCUUAAAGGCUGAGUCACAAAAAAAGUUCAAGACACCCUUGAAGGAAAAACAAAGUUCUUUAUGUUUUUGCUAAAUUUAAAUCUGCUUUAAAAAAAAUGAAGGAUUUGUUAGUAUCUGUGUUCUAAAUGUCAAACAAAAUAAAGAUAUUUCAGUUCUGUGGACUUGUAUUUAUCAGGACUAAAUAGCAACACAUAGAAAAAAAUGAUUUUGACAAUACUUUAAUUUUAGUAUUUUUAUUCAUAAUUAUUUGGAUCUGGAGCAGGUAACUAGUACUUUUAGAAAUAUGGCCUUCUAUGUAAGCAUUGGGUCAAAAAUAAAUCUACAUAUCAAGAUGCUGGGUCAUUCAAAAUACAAUAGUGGAAUAUUGGGUGCUUUCAUUUGACUCAACAUCUUUUAUUACUUCAAAUCUUUCUGAGCUAUUGGUUGUACUAAGUUGCUUGAUUCAACCAACAUUCAACUACAUUACCCCUUAUUAGGGAUGUCCAGAUCCGAUCACGUGAUCGGAAAUCAGGCCCGAUCAUGUGGUUUCAGAUUCAAUCGGGGCUGCAUCAGUGGCGGAGCGGGGUUUUUUUUUUUACUGGACUUAAGCCCGGGUUGUUUUUU